rnacentral:rRNA from 1 species
AGUUUGACUGGGGCGGUCUCCUCCCAAAGAGUAACGGAGGAGCACGAAGGUGUGCUCAGCAUGGUCGGAAAUCAUGCAUAGAGUGUAAAGGCAAAAGCACGCUUAACUGCGAGACAGACACGUCGAGCAGGUACGAAAGUAGGUCUUAGUGAUCCGGUGGUUCUGUAUGGAAGGGCCAUCGCUCAACGGAUAAAAGGUACUCCGG